rnacentral:rRNA from 1 species
UUCGCAAUGCCCGAAAGGGUGACGAAGCGACGCCGCGUGUGGGAGGAAGGCCUUCGGGUUGUAAACCACUGUCGGGAGUUAGGAAGUGUAAGGGUGUUAAUAGCGUCCUUACUUGACUAAGGCCCCGGAGGAAGCCACGGCUAACUCUGUGCCAGCAGCCGCGGUAAUACAGAGGCGGCAAGCGUUGUUCGGAAUUAUUGGGCGUAAAGAGCACGUAGGCGGUUCUGCAAGUCGGCUGUGAAAGCCUUCCGCUCAACGGAAGAACAGCAGUUGAUACUACAGGACUAGAGUGCGGGAGGGGAGAGUGGAACUUCUGGUGGAGCGGUGAAAUGCGUAGAUAUCAGAAGGAACGCCGGCGGCGAAAGCGACUCUCUGGCCCGUAACUGACGCUGAGUGUGCGAAAGCUAGGGGAGCAAACGGGAUUAGAUACCCCGGUAGUCCUAGCCGUAAACGAUGGGCACUAAGUAGAGGGGUUUU